CACCAAAGGACAUGAGAAACUGAGUUGCUGCUGCUGCUGCUGCAAGUGGUUGUGUGGAGGGCUGUGGCAUCUCUUGCCUUCCAUGGAGCGCCCAAAGGGUUUCCUCCGCAGGAGAGAUGAUGCCGCUACCGUCGGAAAGCUUCUUGGCUCAGUUACUGGGAAGUUUGGGCAGGCAGCGGUAUCAUCUACUGCGCAGGAAACAUGGCUCUCAGCAUGGAAGAAGUAGCUGCCUUUGGAGGAUCAUUGAACCCUAUCCAAAGGAUCCCAAUGGAUCCUGACCGUCAAUCUUGUCAAUGUCACUCGUAUGCAUGAAACAAGUGGCGCUUCGAGAUUGGAUGUUCUUCUUCGGGACCAGUAGAAAACUCGAUCUGAACAGGUGCAUGGCAUCUCAUCAUCACGAAUCUCAACGAAAGACGAACGUGGAUCCCUUGUGCGGAUCGGACGCGCCGGCUGUCCUAAUCUGUUUCCGCGGAACAACAGACCGGUAAAUCGACACGUCGACUCCCGUCAUCCCUCAACUCCGCCUAUAUACUUCCUCCACCACCAUCGUCACCGCCGUCGCCGGCCAAAGAUCCAGUUUGUAUCGCCAUGGAGGGAUCUCUCCGUCUUCUUCUCCUCCUCGUCAUUCUCGAUUCCCUGAUGUCUCCUUCCAUGGCGGAGAUCAAGAAUCUGGAGAUCUCCGACGACUCCCGCCAGGUCAUCCUGUUCGAGAAUUUCGGAUUUAACCACCGUGGAACCGUCACAAUUGCUCUAUCCGGCGUGUCCAUCUCCUCCUCCGCCGUCGCCCCUGCCGUCGACCCCUCUCUCCUCGGCUUCUUCCUCGUCUCCGACGAGAGCCUGAUCCAGGCCGCCUACGACUCACAGCAGAACCCUAACCCUAGCUCGUACCCAGAUUGCGUCCUCAGGAGCCCGUACGUCCACCUCCUGUUCACCUUCGAGAAUCUCUCCCCGCCGCCUCCCGGCGGCGCCUUCAACAACUCCUUCGCCGUCUCCCAUCCGGACGAGUACAGCCUCUACUUCGCCAAUUGCGGCCCCGGCGCCGCUGCCGUCACCAUGUCGGUCCGCACCGAGACGUACAACACCCGCCCCGACGGCUCCCGCGAUUACCUCUCCGUCGGCAAGUCCCCUGUGCCGUCGCUCUACACCUUCUUCGCAGUCACGUACGCCGUCUUCCUGGGCGCGUGGAUCUAUCUCACCCUGUUCCAGAACCGGAUCUCAUCCCACGGGAUCCACUACCUGAUGGCCGGGCUGCUGCUCAGCAAGGCCCUCUACCUCGUCUUCGCCGCCGAGGACCAGCACUACAUCCGGCAGACCGGCACCCCGCACGGCUGGGACAUCCCCUUCUACCUCUUCCAGUUCCUGAAAGGCGUCCUCUUGUUCACCGUGAUCGUCCUCAUCGGCACCGGCUGGUCCUUCCUCAAGCCCUUCCUCCAGGAGCGCGAGAAGAAGGUGCUGAUGAUCGUGAUCCCACUCCAGAUAAUCGCCAACAUCGCCUCCGUGGUGAUCGGCGAGACCGGACCCUUCAUCAGGGAUUGGGUCACCUGGAACCAGGUGUUCCUCCUCAUCGACAUCAUCUGCUGCUGCACCGUCCUGUUCCCCAUCAUCUGGUCCAUCAGAUCUCUGCGUGAGACGUCAAAGACCGACGGAAAGGCCGCAAGGAACCUCAUGAAGCUCACACUUUUCCGGCAAUUCUACAUCAUUGUGAUCGGAUAUUUGUACUUCACGAGGAUCGUCGUCUAUGCAUCGGGGACAAUCACAUCUUACAAGUACCGCUGGGUGAGCGUGGCAGCUGAGGAAACCGUGAGCCUUUUGUUCUACAUGUUCAUGUUCUAUAUGUUUCGCCCGGUGGAGAGGAACCAGUACUUUAUGCUUGAUGAAGAAGAGGAAGAAGCUGCAGAAUUGGCGCUCCGUGAGGAAGAGUUCGAGCUUUGAUUGACAGUAGGAAGGAGAAACACUUGUGUGGGAACUUCCUGGUGUGAUCUUCACACUGAUUUCAUCGAGUAUUCUUGCUAUAGGAUAAAAGAAGGUUAUGAGGUUACAGAAAUUUGACAAGGCCCCACAAUCCCUUCAGACAGGGGUUUAUAACACGACAUAUGCUCAAAAGCAUUCCGAACGAUGGAGAGAGGGGAUCAGCCACAAAAGGCUGAUCCCUCAUUACUGGCCACAAACUGUAUGCCAAAAGAGCUCGAAGAAGUCCACAGCUAGAUCUGGUGAGAUCUUGUCCCUAACUCAGCCAACGACCCAUUACCCAAUCCGAACGGAACUCAAACUGCUUCCCUAGUGCUUGGUUACUUGAUCCCAGUUAUGGAAAAAUUUGUUGAAAUUAAGCACACUGUAUGAAUAUUGCAUAUGGCUUAAUGAUGCACAGGUAAAAAAUGUUUUAUGUUAGUGUAUAGAGAUUUGAUGCUGCAAAUCGCUUGAACAGGUUCAAGUUAUUAAUUUAGAUCUCUGUUUUA